UAUGCUUUGUUUACCGCUCCGAUUUGUCUAGGAGUAUUGCAUAUUUCCUUUAUUGGAAUAAAGACUCUGUUUUCGCCAAGUCGCUUUUGGGUCCUCAUUCACCUGCAUAACAGACGGAGCGUAGUGCAGUGUUGCAAUGUCGUUUUCCAUCACAAAAGGGGUGGCUCCUUGUUAUACGCUUCGUCAUUUGACACAGUUUUUUUCUACCUGGAAAUUGAGACCCGACACAUCACUCCUUGCGAUGACUGAGGGGCAGUACUAAGUGAAGUCCUGCCCCUGUGUCUACAUCACAUAUUUCCCAGUAUCAUUUCUAGUAUAAACUCAGAACCAAUGAACAUUCUUCUACUUUGCUUCUACUCUAUUCUUCUCAAGCUUCCUUUUUUGUGCUUUUUUCAAAGAUUUUCUAAGCGUAAUUAUGUCUGUCCAGUUUUGAGGAGCGUCUGUGCAAGCUGGUGAGACAAUAAGAGAACCUUUACUACCCUUCGAUGGGGUUGUAUUUGGACAAGCAUGCAAAAGAUGACAGUUGGAGGGAGAUUUCACGAAAUUUGAACACCAAUACUGACGUCAAAGAAGCAUUGAAAAAUAUUUGGAGCCAGUAUGUUCUGAAAAGGGUGAAGGAGAUGAGGAGUGGGGCUGCCACUGGUGUGUGUGUCCCACCGUUUGUCAGACAACAGGAUUGGCUCGGUGUUCACGUGAAAUAUCGUCAGACAGACACCAAUAUGCCGAUACGGUGUUGGAGGGUGGUGGUGUGUUGGACAGUCCAGAGACAGAGCUGAGCCCUGAGGGCCAAUCUACCGGAUUGUUCAUCGCCCCUUUAUUCAUCAUCUCCCCAACCUGGUUCAUCACCUCUCAGGCCCCUCUACCCUACACCCAGGCCCUUCUCACCAACACCCAUCCCACCGUCCAGGCGCACCCUUGCUCUCUGCCCUGCAACUCCAUCAACCUCCGCCCCAUCUCCCCGACCCAGCUCUAGUGGUAGGAAGAGGAAGACAGCUGAGGGUCUUUCAGACACUGACAUGAUGCAGCAGGUGGAUGACUUGAAGAAACAUCAACAGGAGUUCCAGAAACAGCAGCAGUGUCCAGUAAAGUCUGUCUACGACACCAUGGACGGUGUCUAGUCCUGCUGAUCAACAUCUCCCGUUUUUUCAUCCUCAUUCACAUGUUGCUGGUAUUUACUUUUGUGUUUUUUUCUCUUAUUUCCCCUUUUAUCACAUUUUUUUGUACAUUUCCUCUUGUGAUGGUAAAUAAAUAUCUAAAAGGUC